UACGUAGGUGGCGAGCGUUGUCCGGAUUUACUGGGCGUAAAGAGCGCGCAGGCGGUCUUACAAGUCGCGUGUGAAAGCCCCUGGCUCAACUGGGGAGGGUCACGCGAUACUGAUCGACUCGAAGGCAGGAGAGGGUAGUGGAAUUCCCGGUGUAGUGGUGAAAUGCGUAGAUAUCGGGAGGAACACCAGUGGCGAAGGCGACUACCUGGCCUGUUCUUGACGCUGAGGCGCGAAGGCUAGGGGAGCAAACGGG
rnacentral:rRNA from 1 species